rnacentral:rRNA from 1 species
GACGAACGCUGGCGGCGUGCUUAACACAUGCAAGUCGAACGGAAAGGCCCUGCUUUUGUUGGGUGCUCGAGUGGCGAACGGGUGAGUAACACGUGAGUAACCUGCCCUUGACUUUGGGAUAACUUCAGGAAACUGGGGCUAAUACCGGAUAGGAGCUCCUGCUGCAUGUUGGGGGUUGGAAAGUUUCGGCGGUUGGGGAUGGACUCGCGGCUUAUCAGCUUGUUGGUGGGGUAGUGACUUACCAAGGCUUCGACGGGUAGCCGGCCUGAGAGGGUGACCGGCCACAUUGGGACUGAGAUACGGCCCAGACUCCUACGGGCGGCAGCAGUGGGGAAUAUUGCACAGUGGGCGGAAGCCUGAUGCAGCAACGCCGCGUGCGGGAUGACGGCCUUCGGGUUGUAAACCGCUUUCGCCUGUGACGAAGCGUGAGUGACGGUAAUGGGUAAAGAAGCACCGGCUAACUACGUG